GAUGAAGAACGCAGUGAAAUGCGAUAAGUAAUGUGAAUUGCAGAAUUCAGUGAAUCAUCGAAUCUUUGAACGCACAUUGCGCCCGCCAGUAUUCUGGCGGGCAUGCCUGUUCGAGCGUCAUUUCAACCCUCGACCUCCCCUUGGGGAGGUCGGCGUUGGGGACCGGCAGCACACCGCCGGCCCUGAAAUGGAGUGGCGGCCCGUCCGCGGCGACCUCUGCGCAGUAAUACAGCUCGCACCGGGACCCCGACGCGGCCACGCCGUAAAACACCCAACUUCUGAACGUUGACCUCGAAUCAGGUAGGACUACCCGCUGAACUUAAGCAUAUCAAUAAGCGGAGGA
rnacentral:misc_RNA from 1 species